CUUACGGCAACAAGUAAGCUCUCAUUGUUCCUAUACAGAUCCUUUCGUCACCCAACCAGCUCUGCUGUCUUCCUGGUCAAACAUAAUUGGGUUGUGUUACACUGCUCCAAGUGAAUGACACAAAUUCUGCACUCAGAUAGCAGAUCACUUCCUCAGUUGCUCUUAUCUCCAAGUGCGAGCAUCCAGAAGGCUGCAGCUGAGUGUGUAAACUGGGUGGAUCGUGGCUGCUCGGCAUGAUAAUGGCCGAGAGGUGGGACAAUAUACUGAGAAAUUUCAAAUUUAGGAGUCAUCAACGAGGUUAGCGCUCCCACCUCUGAUCUCCACCCAUCAUCACUACUUAGUGCUUCGUCAUUGCUGCGACACCGCCUCUCCGCGGGGACCUGAUCGGGAAAGUCUCCAACCUGCUCUGAAGUGAAACACCGGAAUCAUGGCAUCAAAAUAAAGGUGUGGGAAAACGCGCAGAGGACACAUCCGUCUGCUCAGGUAGGUUUCGCCCACUGACAUCGUCACUGUGUUGACAUCGCACACCUUUUUUUCCCUUCUUCUUCUCCUUCUUCACUUCCCGUCUCCUCGCGGCGGCGGCGGUUCGUUUGGA
rnacentral:lncRNA from 1 species